rnacentral:rRNA from 1 species
GACGAACGCUGGCGGCGUGCUUAACACAUGCAAGUCGAAAGAGUGGCGGACGGGUGAUUAAUGCUUGGGAAUCUAGCUUAUGGAGGGGGAUAACUACGGGAAACUGUAGCUAAUACCGCGUAACAUAGGAUGAGCCCAAGUGGGAUGAGGUAGUUGGUGAGGUAAAGGGUCACCAAGCCGACGUGCUCUAGCUGGUCUGGGAGGAUGACCAGCCACACGGGGACUGAGACACGGCCCAGACUCCGACGGGAGGCAGCAGUGGGGAAGAUUGCGCAAUGGGGGCAACCUGACGCAGCCAUGCCGCGUGAAUGAAGAAGGCCUUCGGGUUGUAAAGUUCUUUCGGUAGCGAGGCGUUAACUACAGAAGAAGCACCGGCUAACUCCGUGCCAGCCGCCGCGGUAAUUC